CAAAUCCAUGCAGGACGUUUGGCAUAUGCCAGAGAACACCAAGAUUGGCAAAUUCUUCACUGGCGCCCUGUACUCUUCACAGAUAAAAGCAGGUUCACACUGAGCACAUGUGACAGAGUCUGGAGACGCCGUGGAGAACGUUCUGCUGCCUGCAACAUCCUCCAGCAUGACCGGUUUGGCAGUGCAGGGGUGGCAUUUCUUG